GACGUAGGAGGCGAGCGUUAUCCGGAUUCACUGGGCGUAAAGCGCAUGUAGGCGGUUGGACAAGUCGUGUGUUAAAAGCCCCCUGGCUCAACUGGGGGGAGGUCAUGCGAGACUGUGCGACUUGAGGGCAAGAGAGGCACGUGGAACUCCCGGUGUAGCGGUGGAAUGCGUAGAGAUCGGGAAGAACACCAGUGGGCGAAAGGCGACGUGCUGGGGUUGCACCCUGACGCUGAGAUGCGAAAGUGUGGGGGAGCAAACGGGG
rnacentral:rRNA from 1 species